UUGUCUCAAAGAUUAAGCCAUGCAUGUCUCAGUACAAGCCAAAUUAAGGUGAAACCGCGAAAGGCUCAUUAAAUCAGUUAUGGUUCCUUAGAUCGUACCCACAUUUACUUGGAUAACUGUGGUAAUUCUAGAGCUAAUACAUGCAAAUAGAGUCCCUACCGGAGACGGGAGGGACGCUUUUAUUAGAUCAAAACCAAUCGGUGGUGAGUCGCAAGGCUCAUCAUCGUACAACUUGGUGACUCUGAAUAACUUUAUGCUGAUCGCACGGUCUCGCACCGGCGACGCAUCUUUCAAAUGUCUGCCUUAUCAACUGUCGAUGGUAGGUUCUGCGCCUACCAUGGUUGUAACGGGUAACGGGGAAUCAGGGUUCGAUUCCGGAGAGGGAGCCUGAGAAACGGCUACCACAUCCAAGGAAGGCAGCAGGCGCGCAAAUUACCCACUCCCGGCACGGGGAGGUAGUGACGAAAAAUAACGAUACGGGACUCAUCCGAGGCCCCGUAAUCGGAAUGAGUACACUCUAAAUCCUUUAACAAGGAUCAAUUGGAGGGCAAGUCUGGUGCCAGCAGCCGCGGUAAUUCCAGCUCCAAUAGCGUAUAUUAAAGUUGUUGCGGUUAAAAAGCUCGUAGUCGAAUUUGUGUCCCGCGCCGCCGGUUCAUCGUCCGCGGUGUCAACUGGCGUGUCGCGGGACGUCCUGCCGGUGGGCUUAGCUCAUUCGUGGGCGGCCCAACUCAAUCCCGCCGCGGUGCUCUUCACUGAGUGUCGAGGUGGGCCGGCACGUUUACUUUGAACAAAUUAGAGUGCUUAAAGCAGGCUAAAAUUUUGCCUGAAUAUAUUGUGCAUGGAAUAAUGAAAUAGGACCUCGGUUCUAUUUUGUUGGUUUUCGGAACCCCGAGGUAAUGAUUAAUAGGAACUGAUGGGGGCCAUUCGUAUUGCGACGUUAGAGGUGAAAUUCUUGGACCGUCGCAAGACGGACUAAAGCGAAAGCAUUUGCCAAAAAUGUUUUCAUUGAUCAAGAACGAAAGUUAGAGGUUCGAAGGCGAUCAGAUACCGCCCUAGUUCUAACCAUAAACGAUGCCAACUAGCGAUCCGUCGAUGUUCCUCCGAUGACUCGACGGGCAGCUUCCGGGAAACCAAAGCUUUUGGGUUCCGGGGGAAGUAUGGUUGCAAAGCUGAAACUUAAAGGAAUUGACGGAAGGGCACCACCAGGAGUGGAGCCUGCGGCUUAAUUUGACUCAACACGGGAAACCUCACCAGGCCCGGACACCGGAAGGAUUGACAGAUUGAGAGCUCUUUCUUGAUUCGGUGGGUGGUGGUGCAUGGCCGU
rnacentral:rRNA from 1 species